GCUUUGGCGUGACAAUAUGCUUAUUGAUGUCAAAGCGAUACUACGUACAUUCUUCUGGAUAUAGAAAUGUGCGACUUCUUCUGUGAAAGUGACCCCAGAAAGGAAGAAUGGAACGAGAAGUCAGAACUUCCUGAAACAUCGUUUUCAUGUUAUGUGCCUACUUAUACAUAAUAUGCGCAAUAAACUAUGUACCACCACAACAAACUCACCGACAAAGGCAUCACUUAUUGUACGAAAAAGGACAAAAGCAGCAGAACACACCACUGGGAUACCCAGUACUAAAACCCGUUCGCAACCAUCACAACCAGGGCCAACAGAUGUUACGACUAGCAACAUCAGCCACACCGGUAUGACGUCACCAAAAUCAGGCAUCAUUGUGAUGUCAUCGGAUAAGUCGUGGCAGAUAUCACAAUCACGUGUGUGGGGAAAAGAUACUGAACGGUACCUCGUGGCGGAGCACGGCCCGCUUCCAGAUGGUGUCCACCUCAAAUCAACGUUCUUCUGCCCGAUCCCCUCCACCAGGGUGGGGUGCGCCGCCCACUGCCUCGCCUCCCACUCGUGCCUAGCGUUCACCCACUCCCAGACACGCCAACUGUGUCAGCUAAUUAACAGGAAUAGGGUGUUCAAGGAACACCUCGCCUUUGAUGUUGGAUGGAAGAUGUAUCAUGUGUAAGCACGCACAGAAUCAACUGACGCCCAUUGCUCAUCACGAAAUAUAGUGUAAUCACACACUAGAAGGAAACUGGAUAUUGGUUAUUUUCAGUGUUCGUUAAUUUCAGCACGCUAUUGCUAAAUCAGUCAAGUAACACAUUUUUUGCACGUGGAUGCUUCGGUAUUAUAUAUAAUUAGUAAAAGUAAUAUAUAGUGAAUAUCAUUAGCGGAAAAACUAGUUUUUAAAUAGUAAACAGACCGCAUUGUGCAAGCUUAAUAUUGAGUAUGUUUCGGCGAACAUUCCGGGGUCACCCUAUUUGUCCUCACGAAUAAAUUGGAUACAGACGAAUACAUUUCCCGAGAGGUUGGAAUUGUCGCUAAACAAAGUAAUAUUUACAUUUUAUCACGGAAGAUUUUAAUCGUUAGAAGAAUGCAUAGUGAAAACGGUUGUAAACAAUACGCGUUAUGGUCGUAACACUGACCGUAAGUCGGUACAAUUAAUCGUAGCUACCAUUCUUCCGUGGAUCGGGGCCCUGGUAAGCAUCGUACAACUAACAACAGAUAAUGAAUACAUUCUGAAUUUGUAAUAAUUUUAAUCAAUUUAUUAGUUUUAGUUGGGGGGUUUUAACAUAAAAUUAAUACUUUAUCAUCUCCACUAACAAUGAUCAAACAUAAUAACAUAAAACAAAAAUAUUUUUGGCAGAUGAGCCAUACGUCAAAGAAAAAUUGAAAAGUGUUAAUUUUGACGAAAAACAAUGUUUUUUAUGUUCAACAAUUAUAAGUUAAAACUUCAGAUAUAUACAACUGGUUGACAUUUACCAUAUAACGCGGGAACUGUCUAUUUAAAAUAACCUUUAUCUAAUCAAAUGUGAAUUCUUGAGUUCUUCAAGCAUUUAUGGUCAAUUGUUUUAUUAAAAUGUUUAAAAGCCGGACCAUCUACAAAUGUUUCCUUAAAUAAAACUUGUACUCCACAAUGUACGCUGCUGCAUUUUCAUAUUCAUAAUUCACAGCCUUUACAUUUACAGGCCACGUACUCAUAAUGCAUUCAGUUGCAUCUUCAUAUUGUACACAGGCUACAUGCUCGUGGUUCCAUUUAUAUACUUAAGAUUGUCUGACGUCUUGUUAUGCUUAAAAUAAAUGAUUGUGCAAACGUA
rnacentral:misc_RNA from 1 species